rnacentral:rRNA from 1 species
UUGGAGGGCAAGUCUGGUGCCAGCAGCCGCGGUAAUUCCAGCUCCAAUAGCGUAUAUUAAAGUUGUUGCUGUUAAAAAGCUCGUAGUUGAAUUUCGGGGUUAGUAGGUUGGUCAUGCCUCCGGUAUGUACUGGUCUCACUGAUUCCUCCUUCCUGAUGAGCCGUAAUGCCAUUAAUUUGGUGUUGCGGGGAAUUUGGACUGUUACUUUGAAAAAAUUAGAGUGUUUAAAGCAGGCUUAUGCUUGAAUAGAUUAGCAUGGAAUAAUAAAAUAGGACGGCAUGGUUCUAUUUUGUUGGUUUCUAGGAUCACCGUAAUGAUUAAUAGGGAUAGUUGGGGGCAUUAGUAUUCAAUUGUCAGAGGUGAAAUUCUUGGAUUUAUUGAAGACUAACUACUGCGAAAGCAUUUGCCAAGGAUGUUUUCAUUAAUCAAGAACGAAAGUUAGGGGAUCGAAGACGAUCAGAUACCGUCGUAGUCCUAACCAUAAACUAUGCCGACUAGGGAUCGGAUGAUGUUAAUUUUUUAAUGUCUCAUUCGGCGCCUUACGGGAAAC